rnacentral:tRNA from 1 species
GCGGGAGUAACUCAACGGUAGAGUGCGACCCUUCCAAGGUCGAAGUUGCGAGUUCGAGUCUCGUCUCCCGCU